rnacentral:lncRNA from 1 species
AGGGUCCUUAGCACAGUUCUCAACUCUGACUUCCUCUUUCCUUCCUGAAAUAAAAUCACUGUAGGUUCUCCUGUCUCCUGUACUCCCAGGAAAAACUGUUUCCUUAAUACACAUACAUUGCAAUUAAACCUCUUAAACAUGGUUUCAGUAAUAAUUAUUUUAGGAAUAUUCCUGAUUAAACCUGCCAAUUAACACAGGAAACUAGAAGUAAAUAAUUACUUCUUUCAGUAUGUUUUCCUAUCCAGAAUACUCACAGAUAAUGAGCAGAGGAAGACAGUUGUCAAAAUUGAACUGUACUUCUUUUUUCAUGGGCUUUCAGUCUGGUUUCUAACUGAGGGAGGAGAGGAGCAAUAACUAAGAAGAAUUAGGAUGUACAAAGGCUUUUAAAUGCAGGGGUUUAUUUUUCUAAUUCUUAUUAUUUUAUAUGCUGUUAAAGUGAUCAUCUUCUUAUACAUGCUUAAUAUCAUGUUUUCCAGGGAUAGAGACAAAAAACUUAAUGAUGUCUGAGUGUCACACCUUGAACCUGUGGUCUUGAUGUGGUUUGUCCAGAUCAUGGUGCUAAGGAAAUCUUUAGGGUCUCAUCAGUACAUAAGGACACUUAUUUCCUUCCAGAAUGAAGAUCACAGAAGACAGGGUAAGAAGUUGCUCUUCACAGAGUUCCUCCUUUGGCUCCUGUGGUGUAAAGCUACAUGUACCUCCUGCUACAUGGAAAAAUUGCAACAGAAUUAAAAUUCAAAAAGCCUGGAUUUAUUUGAAGUAACACCAACAGAGAUCUGGGAUGAUUCCAUUAACAGCACUGCAGUCAUGCUGUUUCCAAAAGGAUAUCUAAAGAACUGUAUCCAAGGAGGAUGUCACACUUUUCUGUUCUCAAGUUCAACUUUAUCUCUGAGAGCAUCAGCAAGUUUCACCUCUUCUGAAAGAGCACUCUCCUGUGAUUUAUUUAGAAACUCCUGCUGCUCCCUCUGCAAGACAUGCUCAACUCAAAGGAGACCACUCAGAUGAAUGGGAAGGAAUUUAGGGACAAUGAAAGUAUUUAAUGUGUAGAGUCACAGAGACUCAGCACAUACCAAACAUCCCUGCUAAGCUCAUGUUCCUAAAAUC